CUCCAGUUAGCCUAGUGGUUUAGGCUAUGGAUCACCAAUCCGGAGACGGUGGGUUCGAUUCCCGUUCUGGUCG
rnacentral:tRNA from 1 species